AUUGAACGCUGGCGGCAGGCCUAACACAUGCAAGUCGAGCGGCUGCAGGGAGCUUGCUCCUGGAUUCAGCGGCGGACGGGUGAGUAAUGCCUAGGAAUCUGCCUGGUAGUGGGGGAUAACGUCCGGAAACGGGCGCUAAUACCGCAUACGUCCUGAGGGCGAACGUGGGGGAUCUUCGGACCUCACGCUAUCAGAUGAGCCUAGGUCGGAUUAGCUAGUUGGUGGGGUAAAGGCCUACCAAGGCGACGAUCCGUAACUGGUCUGAGAGGAUGAUCAGUCACACUGGAACUGAGACACGGUCCAGACUCCUACGGGAGGCAGCAGUGGGGAAUAUUGGACAAUGGGCGAAAGCCUGAUCCAGCCAUGCCGCGUGUGUGAAGAAGGUCUUCGGAUUGUAAAGCACUUUAAGUUGGGAGGAAGGGCAGUAAGUUAAUACCUUGCUGUUUUGACGGUACCAACAGAAUAAGCACCGGCUAACUUCGUG
rnacentral:rRNA from 1 species